CGAGUUCUCGUAUAAUCACCGAAGUUAAGAAACACUGAGCCUGGUCAGUACUUUGAUGGGUGACCGUUUGGGAGUAUCAGCUACUGU